CGGGUCGGGUUCGGUCCAACCAGAAUCGGUUGGACCAGGUGUCGGUUGGACCAGGUCUCGUUGAACCGAGACCUGGUCUCGUACGGGAUGUGCAGGUCUCGUACGAGACCUGCUGCGGAAUUUCAGGGGGGCAGUUUUGCCCCCUGAUUUCUCUCGAUCUAUCCGCGUUUUAAAAACGCUUUCUAAACCAAAUAUCUUCACCACACAUCAGUCUAGCCCUAGCCGCUUUCCUCAUUCAAUUUCGCUGAGAAUCCUUUCCGAAAUCAUCAACCAAAGUUAAGUGAAAAUCAUUGGUUUCGCUUCCUUCCAGUGAUAGAAGACUCACGUAUCUACAAAUCCCAAUUUUUGUUUCGUCAAACGCCGUUCGGAGGUCGAAAUCAAUUCCGUUUGUUUCCCGUGAAAGUAGACUCACGCAUCUACGUUUCUACACCUUUCGUUCGUCAAACGACCCGUCGACUGCUCGUGCUUCGGAGUCUACGCAGGGUUAGCUGUUUGCCAAGAUCACGUGGAUAAGCAAGCAGUGAGUUUGUAGUGCUAUUUACCGCUUUAUUAAGUACCGCAAUUUAUUUUAAUAUUAUAAAUGUUUGCGAACUGUUUUUACGGAUUAUGGAACUGGAUUGAAACGAGCUACUCGAUAGGCUUGUAUCGAGACUGUGUGCACCGGUAAGUACUCUGGGAAACGGCAGACUAAAGUCUUGCUCACGCUGGUAUAUUUAUUUGACGAGGAUUUGUUCCCGUCCACUCUGGGUUUAUCGGUAUGCUAUGACAUACUUACGCUGGGAUCAUUUCAAUACUGUUUUUCCAUAAUCAUAUUAUAUUAGUAUAAAAAUGUUUUGAUUUAAGGGUUUUAAACUUAAUAAAUGUAAAUAGUAUUGCGAACUCAUCUCAGUAUAUCUGACCCCGUUGUUUUUCCAAAUU